rnacentral:rRNA from 1 species
UACAGAGGGUGCAAGCGUUAAUCGGAAUUACUGGGCGUAAAGCGUGCGCAGGCGGUUAUGCAAGACAGAUGUGAAAUCCCCGGGCUUAACCUGGGAACCGCAUUUGUGACUGCAUAGCUGGAGUACGGCAGAGGGGGAUGGAAUUCCGCGUGUAGCAGUGAAAUGCGUAGAUAUGCGGAGGAACACCGAUGGCGAAGGGCAGUCCCCUGGGCCUGUACUGACGCUCAUGCACGAAAGCGUGGGGAGCAAACAGG